rnacentral:rRNA from 1 species
UACGAAGGGUGCGAGCGUUAUUCGGAAUCACUGGGCGUAAAGGGUGUGUAGACGGUAUGUUAAGUUCGUUGUUAAAGGCUCCGGCCUAACUGGAGUAUUGCAAUGAAAACUGGCGUGCUAGAGGGUGAGAGAGAGAAGUGGAAUUCCUGGAGUAGCGGUAAAAUGCGUGGAUCUCAGGAGGAACACCAAUGGCGAAGGCAGCUUCUUGGCUCAUUCCUGACGUUGAGGCACGAAAGCGUGGGGAGCAAACAGG